rnacentral:rRNA from 1 species
CCUACGGGGGGCAGCAGUGAGGAAUAUUGGUCAAUGGGCGCAAGCCUGAACCAGCCAUCCCGCGUGCAGGAAGACGGCCCUAUGGGUUGUAAACUGCUUUUCCAGGGAGAGAAACUUACGCACGUGUUGCGUGACUGACGGUACCCUGGGAAUAAGCAUCGGCUAACUCCGUGCCAGCAGCCGCGGUAAUACGGAGGAUGCAAGCGUUAUCCGGAUUCAUUGGGUUUAAAGGGUGCGUAGGCGGGCUAUUAAGUCAGUGGUGAAAUCCUGCAGCUUAACUGCAGAACUGCCGUUGAUACUGAUAGUCUUGAGUUUGGUUAAGGUAGGCGGAAUGUGUAAUGUAGCGGUGAAAUGCUUAGAUAUUACACAGAACACCAAUUGCGUAGGCAGCUUACUGAGCCGACACUGACGCUGAGGCACGAAAGCGUGGGGAUCAAACAGGAUUAGAUACCCCUGUAGUC